rnacentral:rRNA from 1 species
AGCCGGCCUGAGAGGGUGACCGGCCACAUUGGGACUGAGAUACGGCCCAGACUCCUACGGGAGGCAGCAGUGGGGAAUAUUGCACAAUGGGCGGAAGCCUGAUGCAGCAACGCCGCGUGCGGGAUGACGGCCUUCGGGUUGUAAACCGCUUUCGCCUGUGACGAAGCGUGAGUGACGGUAAUGGGUAAAGAAGCACCGGCUAACUACGUGCCAGCAGCCGCGGUGAUACGUAGGGUGCGAGCGUUGUCCGGAUUUAUUGGGCGUAAAGGGCU